UACGGGGGGGGCAAGCGUUGUUCGGAAUUACUGGGCGUAAAGGGCUCGUAGGCGGCCAAUUAAGUCAGACGUGAAAUCCCCAGGCUCAACCUGGGAACUGCGUCUGAUACUGGAUGGCUUGAAUCCGGGAGAGGGAUGCAGAAUUCCAGGUGUAGCGGUGAAAUGCGUAGAUAUCUGGAGGAAUACCGGUGGCGAAGGCGGCAUCCUGGACCGGCAUUGACGCUGAGGAGCGAAGGCCAGGGGAGCAAACGGG
rnacentral:rRNA from 1 species